UUCAUUAUAUAUAUAUAUCGACUUUCACUAUAUAUAUAUCAACUUUCAUUAUAUAUAUAUCAAGUUUCAUUAUAUAUAUAUAUCAACUUUCAUUAUAUAUAUAUCAAGUUUCAUUAUAUAUAUAUCGACUUUCAUUAUAUAUAUAUAUCAACUUUCAUUAUAUAUAUAUCAAAUCUUUUUUUCCUACCGAGCCCCGGAAGGGACAUGUCCGUAUGGCGAAGCGACAACGAAGGACACUCACCCGGACGAGAAUUUUAUUGAGUUUUAUUUUAAAAUCGGCCUGAAACACACAGACAUUCAAGCAGUGCGAUGCGCUAAGAGUCUGCCAUGCAGACCAGCGAUCCUGAUAAUGUUGUCGGCCUUGGAUGAUGAGGUCCAGUUACCAGGAGCACUAGUCUGCAGCUUACUGGUUCCGUCCUGCAGCUCCUCCACGCUGUCCUCCUCUCUACAGACCAAAUCAAGAAAAGGGAACCAGGAAGCUGCUGUGGAUCCUCUGCAGUAUCUGGAGAGGUCAGAGGAACGGUUCUUGGAACAGAUCGGAAGACACCAAGACGUGACCUCUGCCAUGCUCCAGAACAUCCAGAAGAUGAAUGAAAACCUUGGUUGCACUGAUGGGACGCAUGGUGUCGGUGCUGGAGCAACUGUCCCAGAAUUAAACUGCAUUGUUGACUAUUGGCUUUUCUAGAAAAUAAAUCUUUUUUAGUA